rnacentral:lncRNA from 1 species
CCUGAGACUGUGACAAUGACCUUCAAAAGUCAAACUUUAUGUUAAGAUUGGCAACAUUCAGGUCUGAUGAGAUUUCUACCAGGCGGGGUUCCUGCCUGUGUUCCCUUCAGGGUUGUUGUUGCGGGCCAGGCACAUCUGCUUCCAAGCACAUGGCUGAGAAAGAAGAGUUACAGUGCCGACAGCUUGGCAGCUGUGCUCAGAGACAAGCUGUUCUUCUGGCGGCUCUGUUUCCAAGAGGCGGUGCACAGGUCCCGCUGGGCAUAAACUGCCCUCAAGCUCAUGUCCCUCUCUGAAACUUGUGGUGCCUGUUCCACUGCAGACCAAUGACAUCUACCCUGCGGUGCUGUUGGGCAGGUUAGAAAUCAUGUAUAAGAGCCUGACAGUCAAUGAAUGAUACCUUUUCUCCUGAC